UCCCAGAACCAAUCCCCCAUGGAUAAGGAGGGCUGACAGUAUUUACAAGCUGCCACUGUAUUUAAUGUGUAAAGAACAUUAUGAUUCCUGAUGGGCUACUAUGUGGCUUCGGCUUCUCAUGAUGUUACUUGGGAGGCUACAUUGAAACAUUCAUGCUGGCGGUGGUACCAGACUAUGAUCAGGCAAAUAGAUCUAUCCAUGUAAACUGGGACAAGGAGAUGAUAAAAGGAAGCAGAUGAACACCUGGAAGAAAUAAACAUGCAAAGCUACAAGGAUUAGGUGAAGGAAUGGGACCAAAUGGAUUAUACUGCGGAUAGUCAACUGGACAAUGAUCAAGUAGCCACCUUCUGUGUUGUAUCUUUGACUCUACAUCUGUUGAACUUCAGAAAAGGAGUGGAAGCAAAUCAUCCUUGAACCCGAGGGAUGCCUGAGAAGGGGUAUAAAAACACUAAUGUACUUUUUGAGUUUCUGACUCUUCCAAGACAUUCUUCAGAUGACAGCCUGCCUGCUCAUGAUGAAUAAAGACUUUAAUAUCAUCGGCAUCAAUGUCUCCCGGGUAAUUUCAGUAAGUCACAACAUUCUCUGCAAAGGGGUUCUGCAAAAUGAACCUUUCGCUAUUUUUCAGUGAAUAUUUUUCAAGCCUUAAUUUGGUGAUGAUUUCUUAAUGGGUGGAGAGAAGAAAAGUGAGAAACAAUUGCAGAGGCAAUCUGUGUUGUUUAGUCAGGUUAAUGUUUUAUCUCCUCUGUGGGCUGAUUGUUCAGCCAUCUGGAGCAUUCAGACCUGUGAAUAAAGCACAUUAUAAGACUUAAAACAGAUACUUGACACGUGGUCUUAAAACCACAUCCAUCAUCACAAUGCACACUUUUGCUUCUUACAUUUUUUAA